rnacentral:rRNA from 1 species
UCAGAACGAACGCUGGCGGCAGGCUUAACACAUGCAAGUCGAGCGCCCCGCAAGGGGAGCGGCAGACGGGUGAGUAACGCGUGGGAACGUACCCUUUGCUACGGAAUAGCUCCGGGAAACUGGAAUUAAUACCGUAUGUGCCCUUCGGGGGAAAGAUUUAUCGGCAAAGGAUCGGCCCGCGUUGGAUUAGCUAGUUGGUGGGGUAAAGGCCUACCAAGGCGACGAUCCAUAGCUGGUCUGAGAGGAUGAUCAGCCACAUUGGGACUGAGACACGGCCCAAACUCCUACGGGAGGCAGCAGUGGGGAAUAUUGGACAAUGGGCGCAAGCCUGAUCCAGCCAUGCCGCGUGAGUGAUGAAGGCCCUAGGGUUGUAAAGCUCUUUCACCGGAGAAGAUAAUGACGGUAUCCGAGAAGA